GAGCAGCAUGGAUGGUGUGGUUGGCUGAGGGAACUGCAACACAACAGACAGCCCAGUGCUUGUAGGGACUGGGGAAGCACAGGAGAGCUCUUGGCUUGCUACUGGACCUGAGCUUAGAAGAUCCGUCAGCUAAGGGCAAAAAGGAAGAAAGAAGCAGGAAGAGGUACAGUAGGAAGAAGAGAAAAUGAAUAACAGGGAGAAGGUGGUGGAAGAGGAAGGAAAAUGAGGGACUGAAGUUAUAGAUGAGAAAUUCUCAGAAAAAGAGAUGAGGCAUAGAGGUGACCAAGACAUUUUUCCUGGAUAUGAAUUUCACUUCCCCCUGCCUUGUGUCUGGCCCAUCCCACCUGUUAUAAAAGUAUAUUUUUAAAAUUUC